AACAUUGCUAAUUAUUUUAAAUGUACUGAAAGGGGAGGGAUAGGUGAGGAAAGAAGAUGCUACACACAACAGCUAACUUGCAAACAGCAUCUGUGAGGGGCCCUGACAGCAAAAUAGCGCUUAAAAGUAACUUUAGCAUGACUAGUCUCAGUUGGAUCUGUGCAUCCAGGCAAAGCUUUCUGAUUGUCAGCUGCAACACUCAAGUUGUGUUGGCUGUUUGCUGAUUACGGACUGCCCAUACCUUUUGUCUCCCACUAAUUGCUAAUCAGGGAGUGCUGUACACCUGUACAGCUAGCUGGUGCUUGGAGAGCAGCUACAUAGGUGGUAGGCAAAGUUGCUGGAGUGCAAAGGUUGUUAAGAGGCAGGCACCAGUUUUUGUAGCAGCGUACAUAAAAGAGGCGUAGAAAGACUGGGUUGGUGCUGCAUGAAACUGACUGAGGCUGUGGAACAAAGCACCCGAGUUAGUUCCUUCUUGGAAUUCUCAAGCUGAGCUCUUCAUAAACUUCAAGAGACUGUACUCCCUUUGCCUUCUCAAAGAGCAAGAAGAGUGGAGAAAUCCAAGUCAUUGAAGGGUCCAACCUGCAGAUUGUGUUACCCAAAGGGUGAGAACAGAGAUGGUUUUAAUUGCAAGAGGUUUCAGUAAUGAGUUGUUGUAGCCACAAAACGCUGCGGAGAAGGUCUGGUUUUAUAUGAAGCUCAUCUGUACUGAAAUAACAGAACCAUGACCUCAGCCUGGGUGUCUGGACACCACUGCACUACAAUUCAAUAAUGGACUCCUGCAUGUGCUUUGAACAGAAGACAGACAGGCACCAACUUUCCUGUACUUUAUAUAAGGAGUAAAAACGCAGUCUCUGUGAAUGGCUCUACUUUGGCAAGCUUCUUGUACCAAAGCGCAGGGUUUGCUCUUGCGACCAAGACUGAACGUGCCUAGAUGUCUUGCUAUAGGUUACGGGAUGUUCAUACUCAACUUGUCUGUGGGCAGCAAAGGAAUGAACUCCAUCAGGCUGUGGACAAGCAUGAGCGCAGCUCUAGCAUCCAAGUGCAGGCCGGGGCGUGAACUGUUCUCAAGUCAGACCACUUUUUGAAGUGCUUGAACAGGCUUUCCAUUGAGAUGUUCACAAAAUUAAAUCCAUCUCUACACCGAGGCCACGUGACUGACCACCACUUAAAGCCCACUUGUCUCUUAGUAAGACUAAGAGGAGUUAACUCCAACUAUCAGUGGAAAAAUGCAUCUCUUAAGAACUGAUGUUCUGGAAGGCCAAGACAGCAACUUCCCUAAGCACUUGGACUCCGGGAUGAUGGAGGAGGGCAGCAACAGAGCUACUACUGAAAUAAGUAUGCAACAGAUGAGCCAGACUGCAGGAUGCUACAACCCAGUCACCCUCAGCUGUUUGUACAGUUAGCCAGUGUUUACAACAGCCAUUUCUGCAGCACCACUACUUGUCAGACAGUACUGCGAGCCAGUUAAACAUAAAGUUGAUUACAUGUACGUAUGACACAUACACUGUUACCAAGGCACAAACUUCCUGUGUAUUUUUCUGAGCUUGAAAGAUACCUCCCCAUUUUUCACCUGCGCAUUUACAUGCACACACAGAGGUGUAGUCAGAUUGCUAUCUUCAUCUAGAUCUCUAAAAGCAGUACACAUGAAAUGCUGUAUGAGAAGUAUCUCCCUGUGGUUCAGGGAAAAAUAUGUAUGAGAAGUAUUUCCCUGUGGUUCAGGGAAAAAUAAGAUCAGAAAAAGAGGUAUUCACCCCUCAAAGUACUCUGAGAGACUUAAGUGUUUAAAGAUGCUUACUAUCGCCUUUUUACUGAGUUCCAAACAUGAGAAAAUUAAGGGAAAGUUUCCAAGAUUUUCUCGCAAUCAGGGCAUUAGAAGCCAAACUCUUAACAUGUUUGUGAGAGGGAUCUACCGAGCUUACGAAAACGUGGGCUUUCUCAAGCUAUCCCAGAACGAGAGACACUGCAGGGAACAAAACGCACCUCACAAAUCUUUCCGUCAGUUGAUGCACAAAAUCAAAUAUCUCGUGCCAGUUCUGCGCUACGCUCCCAGACCUGGAAAGAAAACCAGAAGCGUGAACCGGCUCCGACAGACCCAAACUGUUGCUCUGGGACUGCGCACGUGGUAACCACCAAACUGCACCGCUUCACAAUAGACUCUGCCGUGCUAAAUAUAGAGCAGGCAUUUGGUUUGAAGCAUAAGCUGGAUCCUUCGCAGCGAACAUGAGGCACUGUGGAAAGCGUCACUUUAUGCUGCAAGAAUAUUAUCUUUUCAGAGUUUGCCAUCUGGGGCCUCAGGUUUUCGCAGGAAGUUCAAAUAUGCUUUAUAAUCUUAAAAUAUUAUCUGAAGGCUAAAAAGAUGCGUGAGUUUUCUCUGAUGAAAAAUUCUAGCCACGAGCUGCAUAGACCAAAAUUAUCUCCCAAGUUAAAAAUAAAUGUCUAGCCUCUAGUUCUUUGUUUCCUGCAUGGAGUUUUCGCCACAAGCACUAUGUGACGAGUGAUUGACAGGAUUUCAAAUAAAGUUGGUUUUUCUUUUAUUCACCAUUUUGUUU